UACGUAGGGUGCGAGCGUUGUCCGGAAUUAUUGGGCGUAAAGGGCUCGUAGGCGGUUUGUCGCGUCGGGAGUGAAAUCCUACGGCUUAACUGUGGGCUUGCUUUCGAUACGGGCAGACUAGAGGUAUGCAGGGGAGAACGGAAUUCCUGGUGUAGCGGUGAAAUGCGCAGAGAUCGGGAGGAACACCAGAGGCGAAGGCGGCUAGCUGGACAGUAACUGACACUCAACUGCGAAAGCGUGGGGAGCAAACAGG
rnacentral:rRNA from 1 species